UCCUCAUUUUUCAAGCGUUGUCCGGAAUUAUUGGGCGUAAAGAGCUUGUAGGCGGUUUGUCGCGUCUGCUGUGAAAUUUCGGGGCUCAACCCCGAACUUGCAGUGGGUACGGGCAGACUAGAGUGUGGUAGGGGAGACUGGAAUUCCUGGUGUAGCGGUGAAAUGCGCAGAUAUCAGGAGGAACACCGAUGGCGAAGGCAGGUCGCUGGGCCACUACUGACGCUGAGAAGCGAAAGCAUGGGGAGCGAACAGG
rnacentral:rRNA from 1 species